rnacentral:rRNA from 1 species
ACGAACGCUGGCGGCGUGCUUAACACAUGCCAGUCGAACGGAAAGGCCCUGCUUGCAGGGUACUCGAGUGGCGAACGGGUGAGUAACACGUGGGUGAUCUGCCCUGCACUUCGGGAUAAGCCUGGGAAACUGGGUCUAAUACCGGAUAGGAGCCAUUUUUAGUGUGAUGGUUGGAAAGUUUUUUCGGUGUAGGAUGAGCUCGCGGCCUAUCAGCUUGUUGGUGGGGUAAUGGCCUACCAAGGCGGCGACGGGUAGCCGGCCUGAGAGGGUGGACGGCCACAUUGGGACUGGGAUACGGCCCAGACUCCUACGGGAGGCAGCAGUGGGGAAUAUUGCACAAUGGGCGCAAGCCUGAUGCAGCGACGCCGCGUGGGGGAUGACGGCCUUCGGGUUGUAAACUCCUUUCGCUAGGGACGAAGCUUUUUGUGACGGUACCUAGAGAAGAAGCACCGGCUAACUACGUG